ensembl:lncRNA
GUUGUUGAUGUGUGCAGAGGGUCCCUGGUUCGCGCCCGGGUAUGGGUGAGGGAAGGGGACGGUCUAAAGUUAUACUGUUACACAUCCACAUGUGCAGUAGCUUCAGGACAUUUAGCUGUCAGGAAGAGGGGUCCGGAACAGUCGGAUCUGUAGCCUCUCCGUUGUUUAUAUAUUAGUGGUUUGAGAGAGAGGCCAUAAAAUGUUUUCAGACACAUUUGGAAGGCAUGUCUUGAUACAUAAUGGCAUCUUAAAGAUGUAUUUUUUUUUAAAGUAUCUAUGUCUUGAAGCGUCUCAAGAUUUCUCAACUUGUGAUGGCUGGGUACGUAGGUUUAUAAACGAUCAGAAACAUAUUUUCGCAGUCUUCACUUUGGGCUUCCAUAGUCCGUUUGUGAUGGCUGGGUACGUAGGUUUAUAAGCGAUCAGAAACAUAUUUUCUCAGUCUUCACUUUGGGCUUCCAUAGUCCGUUUGUGAUGGCUGGGUACGUAGGUUUAUAAACGAUCAGAAACAUAUUUUCUCAGUCUUCACUUUGGGCUUCCAUAGUCCGUUUGUGAUGGCUGGGUACGUAGGUUUAUAAACGAUCAGAAACAUAUUUUCGCAGUCUUCACUUUGGGCUUCCAUAGUCCGAUUGUGACAGGUGGCAAUAAAGGGCCCAACUACGGUGGGAUGAACGUAUCUUCUGUCGUUGGCUUUUAUCCUUUUAUGGAAAUAGGGAGAACGUGCAUUUUUUUAUGGCUUAUGAAAAGUUUUACAGACCCCUCAGAGCUUUUUACAGUAAUGUUUUCCUCAUUGAAAUAAGAACCCUGUUUAUACCUGGUGCUAUCAUGCGUUUCCUUUGUCCUGAACUUGUCCACAUUCUGAUUUGUGUCCACAUUUACACAGACGAGUAAACUAACUGAUUAGCAGCAACAUUUCCUGAGGCAGUUUGGGACGAAUUGAUUGGCUGGAUCCAAGCUUACUGACAGGCCAGUGGGCAGGGUUUACAGGUGAGCGUCAAAUAAGAAAAGGAGUGUCUGCGGAGCUGACUUUUACGGGAUCUUUAGUCCACCGGAUCCUGAUGCUUUACACUAUAUAUUCUCUGUUCUCUAUUACACAGGUGGCAAACGGGAGGGGCAACUGUCUGCGUGUUAUCACUCCUGCCUUGUACUUAAUUAAUAAAUAAAGGUCACUGAUUAGUAAGGAACUCCCUUCACCUGGUUGUCUAGGUCACUGAUUAGUAAGGAACUCCCUUCACCUGGUUGUCUAGGUCACUGAUUAUUAAGGAACUCCCAUCACCUGGUUGUCUAGGGCUUAAUUGAAUAGAAAAGGAAAAAAAAACAGCAGACACUAGAACCUCUAUGGAAUGAGUUGGACACCGCUGGUCUACUAUGUGUAAAGAACAAGCCACUGGGGGUUCUCCUUUAAUGAAGUUAGGUCACAGCUGAAUGGUGCUCCUUUUAAUGAAGUUUUUUAAUUUUAAAAAUUUAAUUUCACCUUUAUUUAACCAGGUAGGCCAGUUGAGAACAUGUUCUCAUUUUUUAACUGCGACCUGGCCAAGAUAAAGCAAAGCAGUUCAACACAAACAACACAGAGCUACACAUGGAGUAAAACAAAGAGUCAAUAAUACAGUAGAAAAAUAAGUCUAUAUACAAUGUGAGCAAAUGAGGUGAGAUAAGGGAGGUAAAGGCAACAAAAGGCCAUGGUGGCGAAGUAAAUACAAUAUAGCAAUUAAAACACUAGAAUGGUAGAUUUGACAGUAGAUGAGUGUGCAAAGUAGAAAUACUGGGGUGCAAAGGAACAUAAUAAAUAAAUACAGUAGGGGAAGAGGUAGUUGUUUGGGCUAUUUAUAGAUGGGAGCUGCUUUGACAGCUGGUGCUUAAAGCUAGUGAGGGAGAUAAGUGUUUCCAGUUUCAGAGAUUUUUGUAGUUCGUUCCAGUCAUUGGCAGCAGAGAAUUGGAAGGAGAGGCGGCCAAAGGAGGAAUUGGCUUUGGGGGUGACAAGUGAGAUGCCUGCUGGAACGCGUGCUACGUGUGGGUGCAGCUAUGGUGACCAGCGAGCAGAGGUAAGGCGGGACUUUACCUAGCAGGGUCUUGUAGAUGACCUGGAGCCAGUGGGUUUGGCGACGAGUGUGAGGCGAGGGCCAGCCAAUGAGAGCGUACAGGUCGCAGUGGUGGGUAGUAUAUGGGGCUUUGGUGACAAAAUGGAUGGCACUGUGAUAGACUGUAUCCAAUUUGUUGAGUAGGGUGUUGGAGGCUAUUUUGUAAAUGACAUCGCCGAAGUCGAGGGUCGGUAAGAUGGUCAGUUUUACCAGGGUAUGUAUAGCCCGGCUGAUUUGUGAGGGUCAUGAUUUUGCAGCUC